ensembl:lncRNA
CAACACUGACUAUUGCGGAAUUAUCCAGAAGCCUUGCAUUGAAGAUGUUAGGUGUGUGAAGAGGAGACCUGGGAGCCAGUAGGCUCAAUAGUGAGAAAAACAGGAAACGAUGGUGGUGGUGGGGUGUGUGUGUGUGUGUGUGUGUGUGCACGCACGCACAUGUGCACACUGUGCACUGUCUGUGGAAUGCACUCCAUUCACAGAUGCGGGUGGAACCAAGACCACUGCAGCCUGGGGUGCUUUCUGACCCCCAGCAGUUCUCCAGGCAGAGGGGGCAGCCCCCAAGGAUGGGAAGGCAUUAGCCGGAUGCUGCCGAUGCCCGGGCACAGAAACACGUUUCUGACCCAUCCGAGGACAGCUGCGCGCAGCGAACGGGCGGAAAAUGCCGCUGGGACGUCGCUACUAAACCAAGAAACGUGGAGCUGCCCCGUUAAUUCCAGCCGCUGCCACAGUUUUGAGGGCGCGUUUCCGAGGAGGGCAUCCUUCUCCCUCUUGGACUGCAAAUCAACCCAUUAGUCCCACCAAGCUUCCCGAGACAAGGAAGCAAGUGCUUCUGGGAUUUAAACAGCGGCAACUGGCCGGCCCCUGGGGACACCCCAGUGACUUUGAAUGUGCCGAGUGCCCAAGCAGUGUCUUCUCGACAGGGUUGGCUGGUGUCCUGCCAUGGACAAGGAACCCAGCUGAUGGGUCCUUUGGGCUCAGCUUCCAGUGGCCUGGUCACGGCUCAGAUCCACCUGCAAGGCCCUGGGCUGAGGAGGCCCCAGGCCGGCUCUAACGCUGCGUCCACCCUUCCAUGGCACGGGCCUGGCUCACCCGGACUAUGCAACACGGGCUGUGUAGAGACUCAGCUCGCGGCCUGCUGCCACCCCACUCACUGGCCUCACGGGAUUGGGGCUGCUUGGGGCCUGUUGUCUGCCCCCCUAGAUUGUGACACCUGGAGGGGAGGUGUCCCUCAUACCUUGUAACCCAAUGCCAGGCCCAAUUAGCAUCUGUUGAGUAGAAGAUAGCUGUUUCCUUUAUAAAUGGAUUCUUCCAGCUGGUUCAUUGAAGUUUUCAAAUGUCUCUCAAUGCUUACCCUAGGUUUCCUGUACCUCACAGCUCAGCACCUGUUUGUUGGGCCAGGCCCCGUGCUAGGUCGGGGCUACCCAGAGGAAUGACUCAUAUCUUCCCUCGAGGAGCUCAUAGUCCAGUGGAAGAGACUGGAGGUGACCAGGCCAUCCGAGAAGGACGCUCCGUAGCAUGGCCUGCUACUUUCCAUCAGACACCAGCUUCAAGGCAACCCCCUCAAAGGGUCUUCUCUAAACAGCCCGUUCAAUGAAGGCUUCCCCUAUUCUCUCCGUCAAAGGACCUGCUGAUCUCCUCCAUCAAUAGCUAUAAAUUUUAUUCGGUUUUUACUUAUUUAUUAUUCGCCUCCACUAAAAUUUAAACACAAAAGCAAGAACUAAAUUUGUCUAUUUAGUCCUCUACUGUAAUCCCAGUGCCUAGCACACAUAAAGAUCUCUUCUAUGAAGCAGCGUAUACGAUGACGUUUCUGACUGUGUAUUACAACUUGUGGUCCUUCCUGCCUGGGCACCCUUUAUUUUGGGUUUUUCUCACCAGGAUAUCACAUCAUUCAUUUGUUUAUUGCCUGCCCACCUCUACUAGGAUGUACAUUUUGUGCAAAUAAGGAUUUUUGCCUGUUUGGUUCACUGUUGUUUCCCCAGCAUAUAGCAAAGGACACACAGUACAUACUGAAUAAAUACUUUUGGAAUGAAUGAAUGUCA